UGGUGGAGCGAUUUGUCUGGUUAAUUCCGAUAACGAACGAGACUCUGGCCUAUUAAAUAGACGAGAUAUUAUUCAGUAUCUCGCGCUUCUUAGAGGGACAAGCGGCGUCUAGUCGCAUGAAAAGAGCAAUAACA
rnacentral:rRNA from 1 species